UACGUAGGGGGCAAGCGUUGUCCGGAUUUAUUGGGCGUAAAGAGCGUGUAGGCGCCAGACAGGUCCGUUGUGAAAACUAGAGGCUUAACCUCUAGACGUCGAUGGAAACCGUCUGGCUAGAGUCCGGAAGAGGAGAAUGGAAUUCCUGGUGUAGCCGGUGAAAUGCGCAGAUAUCAGGAAGAACACCCGUGGCUAAGGCGGUUCUCUAGUACGGUACUGACGCUGAGACGCGAAAGCGUGGGGAGCGAACAG
rnacentral:rRNA from 1 species